rnacentral:rRNA from 1 species
UACGUAGGGUGCGAGCGUUAAUCGGAAUUACUGGGCGUAAAGGGUGCGCAGGCGGUUUUGUAAGCCAGACGUGAAAUCCCCGGGCUUAACCUGGGAACUGCGUUUGGAACUGCAAGACUAGAGUGUGUCAGAGGGAGGUGGAAUUCCACGUGUAGCAGUGAAAUGCGUAGAUAUGUGGAGGAACACCGAUGGCGAAGGCAGCCUCCUGGGAUAACACUGACGCUCAUGCACGAAAGCGUGGGGAGCAAACAGGAUUAGAAACCCUGGUAGU